CACGUAGGGCGCAAGCGUUGUCCGGAAUUAUUGGGCGUAAAGAGCUCGUAGGCGGUCUGUUGCGUCCGCUGUGAAAACUCGGGGCUUAACCCCGAGCCUGCAGUGGAUACGGGCAGACUAGAGGUAGGUAGGGGAGAAUGGAAUUCCCGGUGUAGCGGUGAAAUGCGCAGAUAUCGGGAGGAACACCGGUGGCGAAGGCGGUUCUCUGGGCCUUACCUGACGCUGAGGAGCGAAAGCUAGGGGAGCGAACAGG
rnacentral:rRNA from 1 species